GAUGAACGCUAGCGGCAGGCUUAACACAUGCAAGUCGAGGGGCAGCAUGAGUGUUAGCAAUAACACUUGAUGGCGACCGGCGCAAGGGUGCGUAACGCGUGAGCAACUUGCCCGUUUCUGGGGAAUAACCGGUGGAAACGCCGACUAAUACCCCAUAGUAUCUUUUUGAGGCAUCUCUUGAAGAUUAAAGAAUUUCGGAAACGGAUAGGCUCGCGUGACAUUAGCUAGAUGGUGAGGUAACGGCUCACCAUGGCGACGAUGUCUAGGGGUUCUGAGAGGAAGGUCCCCCACACUGGAACUGAGACACGGUCCAGACUCCUACGGGAGGCAGCAGUGAGGAAUAUUGGUCAAUGGUCUGACGACUGAACCAGCCAUGCCGCGUGAAGGUGACGGCCCUAUGGGUCUUAAACUUCUUUUGUAAGGGAGCAAUAAGGUGUACGUGUACAUCGAUGAGAGUACCUUACGAAUAAGCAUCGGCUAACUCCGUGCCAGCAGCCGCCGUAACAC
rnacentral:rRNA from 1 species